rnacentral:rRNA from 1 species
GGCGAACCGUGCGAACGUUAUUCGGAAUCAUUGGGCUUAAAGGGCGCGUAGGCGGCGGCGUAAGUUGGAAGUGAAAUCCCAUCGGCUCAACCGUGGAAUCGCUCCCAGUACUGCGUCGCUCGAGGGGGAUAGGGGUCUGCGGAACUACCGGUGGAGCGGUGAAAUGUGUUGAUAUCGGUGGGAACGCCAGUGGCGAAAGCGGCAGACUUGACCCUUCCUGACGCUGAGGCGCGAAAGCUAGGGGAGCAAACGGG